AGCUGCGCGCCUGCACCAGGUGCCCCACGGCUUUUGGCCGGUGGGGUGAAACAGGGAAGCCGGUCCAUUCCAUCAAGAAUCCGGCGCUGCCCCCGCAACGGUAGGCGAGUCAACCACCGCAUCCAGCCACUGUGCCCACGCAUGGGAAGGCGCGGUCGGGGAACCCCAGGUUCCGCUCGCAAGCCCGGAGACCGGCCCGGUGCGAGCGAGCAUG
rnacentral:ncRNA from 2 species